UACGGAGGGUGCAAGCGUUGUUCGGAAUCACUGGGCGUAAAGCGCGUGUAGGCGGCCUUUUAAGUCCGAUGUGAAAGCCCGGGGCUCACCCCCGGAAGUGCAUUGGAUACUGUCGGGCUUGAGUACGGAAGAGGCGAGUGGAAUUCCUGGUGUAGCGGUGAAAUGCGCAGAUAUCAGGAGGAACACCAAUUGCGAAGGCAGCUCGCUGGGACGUUACUGACGCUGAGACGCGAAAGCGUGGGGAGCAAACAGG
rnacentral:rRNA from 1 species